AUCUCUUUAGUUCAAGUGAUAUGUGCUUGCUUAUAUUUAGGCAAUCUCUUGAGUAAAGUGACUCAACAUGCAACUAUUGUCAUAUCUUAUAUUGAGUCAUCUAGUUAAAAAAAAAUAUAUAUGUUGGAUGAAUGUUUUGUAUCUUGAAGAAACUAAUGACUUUCUUUCAAGAAAGAAAAGGAGUUUGUUAAUAAUGCAGGAUCCUUGAGCAAGAAAAUGAGAGAUUUCAACUUGAAGGAUAUCUCCAUGUAAGAUACAAUAAACAUUCACAUGCAAAC
rnacentral:lncRNA from 1 species